rnacentral:rRNA from 1 species
UGGGGAAUAUUGCACAAUGGGGGAAACCCUGAUGCAGCGACGCCGCGUGAACGAAGAAGGUAUUCGUAUCGUAAAGUUCUGUCCUAUGGGAAGAUAAUGACAGUAGCAUAGAAGAAAGCUCCGGCUAAAUACGUGCCAGCAGCCGCGGUAAUACGUAUGGAGCGAGCGUUGUCCGGAAUUAUUGGGCGUAAAGGGUACGCAGGCGGUUUAAUAAGUCGAAUGUUAAAGAUCGGGGCUCAACCCCGUAAAGCAUUGGAAACUGAUAAACUUGAGUAGUGGAGAGGAAAGUGGAAUUCCUAGUGUAGUGGUGAAAUACGUAGAUAUUAGGAGGAAUACCAGUAGCGAAGGCGACUUUCUGGACACAAACUGACGCUGAGGUACGAAAGCGUGGGGAGCAAACAGG